UACGGAGGAUGCAAGCGUUAUCCGGAAUUAUUGGGCGUAAAGCGUCCGCAGGUGGUUUUGAAAGUUUGCUGUCAAAGCGCGGAGCUUAACUUCGUACCGGCAGUGAAAACUCCAAGACUAGAGUUUGGUAGGGGUCACGGGAAUUCCCAGUGUAGCGGUGAAAUGCUUAGAUAUGACAUAGAACACCAAUUGCGAAGGCAGCUGACUACGGGAGUAUUGACACUGAGGCACGAAAGCGUGGGGAUCAAACAGG
rnacentral:rRNA from 1 species